CCUACGGGGGGCUGCAGUGGGGAAUUUUGGACAAUGGGGGCAACCCUGAUCCAGCCAUGCCGCGUGCGGGAAGAAGGCCUUCGGGUUGUAAACCGCUUUUGUCAGGAGAGAAAUCUCUUGGGCUAAUACCCUGAGAGGAUGACGGUACCUGAAGAAUAAGCACCGGCUAACUACGUGCCAGCAGCCGCGGUAAUACGUAGGGUGCUUACUGUAAUCGGAAUUACUGGGGGCGGUGCUUGCGGAGGCGUUUGAAAUCCCCGGGCUUAACCUGGGAACUGCACUUGUGACUGCACGGCUAGAGUACGGCAGAGGGGGAUGGAAUUCCGCGUGUAGCAGUGAAAUGCGUAGAUAUGCGGAGGAACACCGAUGGCGAAGGCAGUCCCCUGGGCCUGUACUGACGCUCAUGCACGAAAGCGUGGGGAGCAAACAGGAUUAGAUACCCCUGUAGUC
rnacentral:rRNA from 1 species